AAGUCGUAACAAGGUCUCCGUAGGUGAACCUGCGGAGGGAUCAUUAACACGUAUCCAAACGUUAUAAACCAAAACCGUGCUCCUUUUAUGUUGUGUUUUACACAAGUCCUAUAGAGAUAGGUGAUUCGUAAGUCAUAGAUGGAAUUUCACUAUGGAAACAUAGUGGUCUACUUACAAUCUAUCGGUCAUAAGACCAACUGAUUUUCUAUAGUGUAUAAAAGCCAUCUGGUUAUAUGUGCCAACCCGGUAUCGACCCGGAGCCAUAUAACCUUAGUAAACCCCCAACCUUUUUUUACCCCUUUCAAUAUAUUAAUAACUGACUUAACUUUUCUGAAUUGUAAUGAUUUAGAAAGUAUACGAAACGCGAACAACUCUUAGCAAUGGAUAUCUUGGUUCUCGUACCGAUGAAGACGCAGC
rnacentral:misc_RNA from 1 species